rnacentral:tRNA from 4 species
UUGUUGUAGCUCUCCCCAGUA